GCGACCUUGCAGAGGUCAGGCUGGAGCGUAAAGGGUGGGUCAUUGCUAGUGAUUGGUGAUGGUUGGAUGUGAAGAAAUACACGACCAUAAUGCUUUGCCGUUUCUGGAGCGUCUUCGUACUGAGGAUCAGAUACGCAGUUUGGAAGUGAGGAACUUCUACCCCGUUCCUAACUCAAUUUAUAUUUAAAUGUAUUGUAGCAGAAACAACUGCCAUAUGGAAUGAUGGACUAAACUUCUGCUGGUGAAGAUGGAAGCACAUAAACUCACAAGAUUUACACUCAGGUAUUGGGAAUGAAGCUGAAUCAGGAAGCCAGCAGACAGAAGACUUCACAGAAGAGGGGGUGUUUGACUUCAGCACUGAGAGCAAAGGAUAACAUCAAGCCUUAAAAUCUGGAAAGAACGUACCUCACAGAUUUUUCAUUUUACUAAGUGCUUCAGUGAUGAAACAGUUCUUUCUAAAACACGCCUUCAGAGACCUUUCUUUGAGACAAUAUGUGAUAAUUCUUUUAAAAAAACUUGACCCCCCCAGCUCAAUGAGACAGCUCUGUUUAAGAUGGCCUUGCAGAGCCUUAGAAAAGCUCUGGGAAAUGGCCAGACACAUCACCUUGCAAUUCGUGUCAAGGGUUUGGAAUUUAACCUGAGAAGGGUAGGUGCCAUAGGGGGACUUCAAUGAGCAGCGAGGUAAAGAUCUGAGGUAUGUUUAAAUGGAUGAUUCUGUGUGGGGAAGAGAUUACAGAGAGUCAAGUGUGGAGGCAGAGAGAUGGCAAUGAUGGUUUGUGCCAAGAUGGAGAUGGGGAGACAGGGCGAGCUUGGUCCUAUAUAUUGAAGACCUAGUUGACAAGAUUUGCAGAUGGGAUGUAAGCAAAGAGGCAUAGAAGUUGACUACUUUUUUUUUUUUUUUUUUUUUUUUUGCCUAAACAACUGGGCAAUCGUGAUGGCAUCUAGUGAGAGGGAAUUUGGGAGCAGAGAAAGUUGGAGAUCAGGUUAUGGCAUUGUGUUUGAUUCUGGACAUGCUAAAUCAAAUAUCUAAGCAUUGAUAUCAAGUAAGCAGUCUGGAGUUUGGGGGAGAUGUUGGUGCUAACAUAUACAUUGGGAGCUGUGUAGAGGUAUUUAAAGCCAUGAGACUGGGUAUGAUCUCUUAGGAAGCGAGACAGCAAAGAGAAAAAUUUCUAUGAUUGAGCCCCAGAUCCUCCAGCAUUUAAUCGUCGAAAAAAGAGGUGGAUCCAGCAGAAGAAUAUGAGAAGGGGUGGCCAGGAAGGAGGAGUAAAAUCAGAGGGUGGAAUCCUUGAAGCAAAGUGAAGAAAGUGUUUCAAGAAAGAGGAAGUGCUCAAUUACGUCAGAUGCUACCGACAGAUGAAAACUGAGUUAAUCAUGGGAAAAAUCAGGCAGCGUUCAGGGUGUGCUGGGUUUUAAAUAGCUGGUUUCAGAUCCCAUCCAGAGAGCUCCAGAGAGGGCUGUGAACCAUCAUGCCAACAGAUACACAGAAACAAACCAGAGGGAAUCAGCUGAAGAUCGCUGUAGUCCUGACUCCUGCCACAUCCUUCUCUGGUACCUCAUGCAACUCAACUAUCAUUUAAAGGCUUUUUGAAACACUC